rnacentral:rRNA from 1 species
GAUGAACGCUAGCUACAGGCUUAACACAUGCAAGUCGAGGGGUAGCAGGGUAGCAAUACCGCUGACGACCGGCGCACGGGUGAGUAACACGUAUCCAACCUUCCCAUUACUCGGGGAUAGCCUUUCGAAAGAAAGAUUAAUACCCGAUAGUACUUUUUCGAGGCAUCUCGUAAAAAGUUAAAGAUUUAUUGGUAAUGGAUGGGGAUGCGUUCCAUUAGAUUGUUGGUGAGGUAACGGCUCACCAAGUCUUCGAUGGAUAGGGGUUCUGAGAGGAAGGUCCCCCACAUUGGUACUGAGACACGGACCAAACUCCUACGGGAGGCAGCAGUGAGGAAUAUUGGUCAAUGGGCGAGAGCCUGAACCAGCCAAGUAGCGUGAAGGAUGAAGGUCCUAUGGAUUGUAAACUUCUUUUAUAGUAGAAUAAAGUGAGCCACGUGUGGUUUUUUGUAUGUAUACUAUGAAUAAGGAUCGGCUAACUCCGUGCCAGCAGCCGCAGUAA